rnacentral:lncRNA from 1 species
GUCAUGCGGCGAGCACAGGCAGGCUGGGUUUGUUUGCCUGACUGCCCUCCAGGAAUUAUAGCUGGGACACAGAAACACUCCUUUAUAAGCCCACAGGCUGUUGGAGCCACUGCAGAGAAGAUAGGGGGAGAGGAGGAGGGAAGACCGAAUGAGUGGAGCGAUGAGGAGAGAUCGAGAGGAGGAUUAUGACAAAGGAGGCUAAUCGAUUGAGGCCUGCUGAAGUGUGAUACUGUACUAAACGUUGAUGACUUAUUGAUCCAUCCAGACUGGAUUAAAACUCGCUGGAUCGUGGAUUGUUUAGGUAGCCUGUCCUGCGUCCCCCUCUCUCUCUCUCUCUCUCUCUCCCUCCCGCCCUCUCUCAGGCGUACUAAACACUGCAGGCAACACUAGGGAUAUGAACUCACAUACUGGUUUGCAGAUAGUUAUGUGAGACUGCAGUAUAGGGUUCAGUGAAUAAUUAAGAAUUUUGUUGUUGCUCCAGUGAACGGCAUACUUCACCACUUCUCUCUCUCAUACACACAAACACAUCAUUUCAUUCUACUUGUACACACAAAUAACCAAAUGAUACUAUAUUCAUGUCUACACACACGUCACACACACCUGUACUAAGUGACGUUUGCCUACAGCUCAUUAAAACGCACAGUCUCAAUUAUUCAGUAGGUCUGAACAGGUUUUGUCUGGAGGAAUAGAAAAAAGAUGGAGAGAUGGAGGUGAAGAUGGAGGGAUAGAGAUGGAGGUGCAGAUGGAGGGAUAGCGGUGCAGAUGGAGGGAUAGCGGUGCAGAUGGAGGAAUAGCGGUGAAGAUGGAGAUAUAGCGGUGAAGAUGGAGGUGAAGAUGGAGGGAUGGAGGUGAAGAUGGAGGGAUGGAGGUGAAGAUGGAGGGAUGGAGGUGAAGAUGGAGGGAUGGAGGUAAAGAUGGAGGGAUGGCAGUGAAGAUGGAGGGAUGGAGGUGAAGAUGGAGGGAUAGAAGUGAAGAUGGAGGGAUAGAGGUGAAGAUGGAGGGAUAGAGGUGAAGAUGGAGGGAUGGAGGGAUAGAGGUGAAGAUGGAGAGAGAGGGAUAGGUGGAGUAACUUGAACCCUAAACCUAUACAGAAUAAAAUGCAAGAAAGUUUUGGUGAUGUAGGACAUUUUGUCCUUUCCAGCAUGUCCUUCUAGUGAUGUUCAGGGCACAUAGCUCCAAGCUGUACCCCAUUCUGGCUUCAAGCUCCGGUCCACAGUGCUCUGUUUUAGUCACUCUCACACACACACAUUCACCCCUUUGUACCCUCCAACACACACACACACACAGACAUAGACACAUAGACACACACAGACAUAGACACACGGACACACACACACACACACACACGUAGACACACACACGCAUACAGUAUAUGGAAACACACACAUGUCCUGCUUUAAGCUCAGGUCUAUACUGCUCCCAUGAUGCCCAGCUGUAACCAAUGAACAUUCCAGUAGAGACUUUUUUCCCUCUAUCAUUUCACAUGUCUGCUCUGAGCCUUUAGGGGGACCAGCGAACAAAUAUGUGCAGGCUUGUGUCCGAACUUUGUUUGACCUUUUUAUGGCGACCCAGUACUCGUGACUUUUUAGACCCCACACUGAGGAAGGAGGGUCGGGGGUGGGAUUAGACAUAGCAUGAUUGUUCGACCUCCACCUCGCCUCUGGGUGUCUUUCUCUCUGUAACCUCUGAACUAUUAGUCAACCUACUUGCUUAUUGUCACGUCUGGCUGUGUAGUCUCUUGACUGUAAGACUGACGUUGAACGGCAGCUGGGUUUAUCUUAUAUGACAUUUAUUGAGCACUCCUUGAGAAAUGACAAGAUCUCCCUGAGCUUAAUCCUGUCUAUGAUGAUGUCACUUCUCUCCUUUUAGUAAAGAACAGCAUUAGUCUUACUGGGCAUGCUCUGUAGAGCUCCACCUUUUGUCUCUUUCAUAAACCUUUACAUACGUACCUGGACCUGAGUACUAGGACCAUGCCUCAGGACUACCUGGCCUGAUGAUUCCUUGCUG